rnacentral:rRNA from 1 species
AGAGUUUGAUCCUGGCUCAGAUUGGACGCUGGCGGCAGGCCUAACACAUGCAAGUCGAACGGUAACAGGAAGCAGCUUGCUGCUUCGCUGACGAGUGGCGGACGGGUGAGUAAUGUCUGGGAAACUGCCUGAUGGAGGGGGAUAACUACUGGAAACGGUAGCUAAUACCGCAUAACGUCGCAAGACCAAAGAGGGGGACCUUAGGGCCUCUUGCCAUCGGAUGUGCCCAGAUGGGAUUAGCUAGUAGGUGGGGUAACGGCUCACCUAGGCGACGAUCCCUAGCUGGUCUGAGAGGAUGACCAGCCACACUGGAACUGAGACACGGUCCAGACUCCUACGGGAGGCAGCAGUGGGGAAUAUUGCACAAUGGGCGCAAGCCUGAUGCAGCCAUGCCGCGUGUAUGAAGAAGGCCUUCGGGUUGUAAAGUACUUUCAGCGGGGAGGAAGGGAGUAAAGUUAAUACCU